GACGAAGGGGGCUAGCGUUGUUCGGAAUUACUGGGCGUAAAGCGAGUGUAGGCGGUUGUCAUAGUCAGGUGUGAAAGCCUUGAGCUCAACUCAAGAAAUGCACUUGAUACUGGAUGACUAGAGGACCGGAGAGGAUAGUGGAAUUCCCAGUGUAGUGGUGAAAUACGUAGAGAUUGGGAAGAACACCAGUGGCGAAGGCGGCUAUCUGGACGGUUACUGACGCUAAGACUCGAAAGCGUGGGGAGCAAACAGG
rnacentral:rRNA from 1 species